UACGUAGGGGGCGAGCGUUGUCCGGAAUUAUUGGGCGUAAAGAGCUCGUAGGCGGUCUGUCGCGUCGGUCGUGAAAACUUGGGGCUUAACCCUGAGCUUGCGGUCGAUACGGGCAUGACUGGAGUUCGGCAGGGGAGACUGGAAUUCCUGGUGUAGCGGUGAAAUGCGUAGAGAUCAUGAGGAAGACCAGUGGCGAAGGCGGGUCUCUGGACAGUUCCUGACACUGAGGCACGAAGGCCAGGGGAGCAAACGGG
rnacentral:rRNA from 1 species